rnacentral:rRNA from 1 species
GAUGAACGCUGACAGAAUGCUUAACACAUGCAAGUCAACUUGAACUUCGGUUUGGGUGGCGGACGGGUGAGUAACGCGUAAAGAACUUGCCUCACAGCUAGGGACAACAUUUGGAAACGAAUGCUAAUACCUGAUAUUAUGAUUAUAUGGCAUCGUAUAAUUAUGAAAGCUAUAUGCGCUGUGAGAGAGCUUUGCGUCCCAUUAGCUAGUUGGAGAGGUAACAGCUCACCAAGGCGAUGAUGGGUAGCCGGCCUGAGAGGGUGAUCGGCCACAAGGGGACUGAGACACGGCCCAUACUCCUACGGGAGGCAGCAGUGGGGAAUAUUGGACAAUGGACCGAGAGUCUGAUUCAGCAAUUCUGUGUGCACGAUGAAGUUUUUCGGAAUGUAAAGUGCUUUCAGUUGGGAAGAAAAAAAUGACGGUACCAACAGAAGAAGUGACGGCUAAAUACGUG